GGGGUUGUGGCUCAGUGGUAGAGCACUUGCCUAGCAUGUGUGAGGUGCUGGGUUCGAUCCCCGACACCA
rnacentral:tRNA from 1 species